AGUGAACGCUGGCGGUAGGCCUAACACAUGCAAGUCGAACGGCAGCACAGUAAGAGCUUGCUCUUACGGGUGGCGAGUGGCGGACGGGUGAGGAAUACAUCGGAAUCUACUUUUUCGUGGGGGAUAACGUAGAGAAACUUACGCUAAUACCGCAUACGACCUACGGGUGAAAGCAGGGGAUCUUCGGACCUUGCGCGAUUGAAUGAGCCGAUGUCGGAUUAGCUAGUUGGCGGGGUAAAGGCCCACCAAGGCGACGAUCCGUAGCUGGUCUGAGAGGAUGAUCAGCCACACUGGAACUGAGACACGGCCCAGACUCCUACGGGAGGCAGCAGUGGGGAAUAUUGGACAAUGGGCGCAAGCCUGAUCCAGCCAUACCGCGUGGGUGAAGAAGGCCUUCGGGUUGUAAAGCCCUUUUGUUGGGAAAGAAAAGCAGCAGGUUAAUACCCCGCUGUUCUGACGGUACCCAAAGAAUAAGCACCGGCUAACUUCGUG
rnacentral:rRNA from 1 species